rnacentral:rRNA from 1 species
UGGGGAAUAUUGGACAAUGGGCGCAAGCCUGAUCCAGCCAUGCCGCGUGGGUGAUGAAGGCCCUAGGGUUGUAAAGCCCUUUCGGCGGGGAAGAUAAUGACGGUACCCGCAGAAGAAGCCCCGGCUAACUACGUGCCAGCAGCCGCGGUAAUACGUAGGGCGCAAGCGUUGUCCGGAAUUAUUGGGCGUAAAGAGCUCGUAGGCGGUUCGUCGCGUCGGCUGUGAAAUCCCGGAGCUCAACUCCGGGUCUGCAGUCGAUACGGGCGGACUUGAGUUCGGCAGGGGAGACUGGAAUUCCUGGUGUAGCGGUGAAAUGCGCAGAUAUCAGGAGGAACACCGGUGGCGAAGGCGGGUCUCUGGGCCGAUACUGACGCUUGAGGAGCGAAAGCGUGGGGAGCGAACAGGAUUAGAUACC